rnacentral:rRNA from 1 species
CAAUAGCGUAUAUUAACGUUGUUGCAGUUAAAAAGCUCGUAGUUGGAUUUCUGGAGGGAGCGUCGACCCGUAUUUACGAGUGCGUGACGUCUCUGUCCAUCCUUGCGGGAAGGCACGGCAUUGAUUUGUUGUGUCGGAUCGCAUCAUUUACUGUGAAAAAAUUAGAGUGUUCAAAGCAGGCUUUCGCUUGAAUACAUUAGCAUGGAAUAAUAAGAUAGGACUUUGGUGCUAUUUUGUUGGUUGAGCCUAAAGUAAUGAUUAAUAGGGAUAGUUGGGGGCACCUGUAUUGCGUUGUCAGAGGUGAAAUUCUUGGAUUUACGCAAGACAAACAGCUGCGAAANGGNNNGCCAAGGAUGUUUUCAUNAA